UGGGGUUCUGCACUCACCUGCUGUUU
rnacentral:piRNA from 1 species